CGGCGUGCCUAAUACAUGCAAGUCGAGCGCAGGAAACCAGAUGACCCUUCGGGGUGAUUCUGGCGGAAUGAGCGGCGGACGGGUGAGUAACACGUGGGCAACCUGCCUGUAAGACUGGGAUAACUUCGGGAAACCGGAGCUAAUACCGGAUAGUAUUUCCUUUCUCCUGAUUGGAAAUGGAAAGACGGUUUCGGCUGUCACUUACAGAUGGGCCCGCGGUGCAUUAGCUAGUUGGUGGGGUAAUGGCCCACCAAGGCGACGAUGCAUAGCCGACCUGAGAGGGUGAUCGGCCACACUGGGACUGAGACACGGCCCAGACUCCUACGGGAGGCAGCAGUAGGGAAUCUUCCGCAAUGGACGAAAGUCUGACGGAGCAACGCCGCGUGAGCGAUGAAGGCCUUCGGGUCGUAAAGCUCUGUUGUUAGGGAAGAACAAGUA
rnacentral:rRNA from 1 species